rnacentral:rRNA from 1 species
CGAACUCGCGAGUACAGUGGCGUACGGGUGAGUAACACGUGGGUAAUCUACCCUUUAGUGGGGAAUAACGCUGGGAAACCGGCGUUAAUACCGCAUAAUCCCGAGAGGGGAAAGCAGCAAUGCGCUGAAGGAGGAGCCCGCGGCCGAUUAGCUAGUUGGGAGGGUAAAAGCCUACCAAGGCAAAGAUCGGUAGCCGGCCUGAGAGGGCACACGGCCACACUGGCACUGAAACACGGGCCAG